GUGCUGUUCCGUGUGCGCGGCGCAUACGCACCUGGGUUGUCUCGAGCCUGCGGUAGUGGCCAGAUCCCAGACAUCCGAGUAGAUCCCGUGAAAAGGAUAAAAUGCAAAUUAAUCAGACUAGUGCUUCUUCUUGGUUUCUUCGUACAUUCUGGAUCCACCCCUUUCAUGCAUAUUCCAGACCACAUUUCCACUGGAGCAGUUGAAAUGAGAGAGAUGGGAAUGGGACUCACCCGAACCAGAGGAAUUUUUAUUACAGACCCAUUAACAGAGGUGUCAAAGUCACAGGAACAAGGAUGUGCACCUCAGAAACACAGAGGCUAGCCUGGCUGAAGCUCAGCUGCACAGAGUCUGUCCUGAGAAGCAGAAUGCCACUGUCCCCUGGGCCCUCCAGACUGCCAAGGCUGCUCAGUUUCAGAGAGCAGGCUCCCUGUGGCCUCACACGCCGGCUGCCAGCUGGGCCAGGUAACUCUGGCCAGGCUGCACUGUGAAGAACACGAGAGUCGGCGGAGACCUGUGCCUGCUCUUCUCAGCCUCAAUGUCUGGAAGACAAAAAAAGGCAUCCUGCUCCCAAGAUUGUGGUGGAGGCCAGCAGGGUGACGCACAUGAAAGCCACUGGAGAUAGAUGGCACUUGUUCCCACCCACUGCCCACAACAGGCCCAGGACUGCCUCAGCCCCGGUGGACCCCAGAGCCAGCAGGCCCUUCAGAAUGGAAGGUGCCAAACACCAUCGGAAGGCGUGGUUCUUUUCAGAGAACCAGACUCUGAGACUGUGGCCUCCCACUAUGAGUCACCACCUCUGAUUCCUGAGGUCCCCUCCAGUCAUUGGCUCUCUCCCAAGCCAGCCAGCUGAUCAGCCUUGAGGACAGCAGAGUGUCUGCCAAGAGAGAUCUGUGAAGUUUCCCAUCACCGUGGCAGUCCACAAUGUGAAGCCCCUGAGGCCACCCUUCUCCAUGUGUCCCCCACACUGUCCCUGACCCUCCCACCAUCCUAGAAAACCAGCCUCCCAGGUCCUCUGUCAUGGAAGUAAUUUACAGCAAGGCAGAAAGAGCUGAAAGAUUUAUAAAUGUGUAAAAUUUACAAAGGUGUUUCUUUCUUUCUUUCUUUCUUUUUUUUUUUUUUUUUUUUUGAGGCAGAGUCUCACUCUGUUGCCCAGGCUGGAGUGCAGUGGCACAAUUUUGGCUCACUGCAACCUCCGCCUCCCGGGUUCAAGUGAUUCUCCUGCCUCAGCCUCCCAAGUAGCUGGGAUUACAGGUGCAUGCCACCACGCCUAGCUAAUUUUUGUAUUUUUAGUAGAGACAGAGUUUUUUGCCAUGUUGGCCAGGCUGGUCUUGAACUCCUGACCUCAGGUGAUCUGCCUGCCUCAGCCUCCCAAAGUGCUGGGAUUACAGGCGUGAGUCACCGUGCCCGGCCUACAGAGGUGUUUCUGAGUGGAGAAACCACUGCCUGGUUGGACUGACUGCCCAGUUCCACCACCCUGUGAGCCCAUGAGUGAGCUCACUGCACUUGUUAUAGACAUCCUACCACCAGCAGCCUGAUUUUGCUGAGUCCGUAGCUUACAACUCCAAUCUCAUGGCCCUGCCUUUCACCUCACUUGCUGCCUUAAAAACCUGCAGACUGAGGUGGCGUAGAAGCUGUGACAUCCCAGUACCCAGAAGUUCAUCUCACACCCAGAUCUUGGUUUCUAAAUGUCAUUCUCUACUAAAAGGGACCAGGGCUGGUACAGGAGAAGAGCAAGAGCUUGGAAUAUCUUAUACCUGAGAGUAAGGAAGUGCUCAGAGAAUCACAGGAGCACGUUAAAAGGACAUAGAAGUCAGUUUAAUGAGACUGCUUCUGGCCAAAGUUGGAACACAUCAAACAUUAAAACAAUGAUGGUAAUGGAUUAGAUUCCAUAGAAUAAAAUCCUUGAGGACAUAGUUAUAUAAACAUAACUGAGGAAGAAGGAAAAGCUCUCCCUAACAGAAUAAUACAACUAGUAAAUGGGAAAGGAAAGGAGUUAGGAAUUCACGCUGGGUAUUGAAACUAGUGGGUGAAAGCUCAAUGAAUCGGAUUCUUAGUCUCAAUGUCUCUCCUCUCAAUUUAGUAAUUAUAGUGGAGUAAUCAUGACUUUACAGUGGAGAAACCUGGCCAACACUACCUUCACAACACUAACAAAAACCUUGCAGACCUGCAGCCUAAGCUCCCAGAAGUCACCUGCUGAAAUGCCUUCAAAGAGUGACCUCUCUGCGUGUAGUGCUCAGCAACUUGGGCUCAGUGUCUAUUUCCACAAGCUACAAACCAGAAUACAGUGGAAUUCAGCCCAUAUGUGGUAAUUUAUCUACCAAUCAAGGACCUUUGACUCCAAAAAUUACCUUUUUUGUACAAGUGACUACCUGGUGUAGAGCUCAGACAUGGCUUUGAAUUUUUGCCAUGCUGUGUGAGCUCAGGCAAGCUGCUUCACCUCUUUGAGCUUCAAUCUUUUAUCUAUAAAAUGGGAAUAACAAUAACUUAAUGAAACAGCAAUUCCAGUGUUAGGUAUUUCCUCAGGAGAAAUGAAAACACGUUCACACAAAUAAUUGUACAUGUAUGUUUCUACACGCUUUAUUCAUAAUAGUCAUAAACAACCUAAAUAUUCAUCAACUGGUUAGCAGAGAAAAGAGCAAACCACUGAUGACAUGAACGAAUUUCAGAAGCACUGUGCUCAGUGAAAGAAGCCAGACAAAAAUUACAUCUUACAUAAAUUUCAUUUAUAUGAAAUUCUAGUGAAGGCAAAACAUAUAGCCAGGGGCCAAGAGGGGAGGAUGGUCUGCAAAGAGGCAGGAACUUCUUCCUGGGGUGAUGGGAAUAUUCUGUGUCAUGAACAUCGUGAUUGUGGUUACAAGACUAUACUUUUGUCAAAACUCAUCAAAUUGUACACCUAAAAUGGAUGCAUUAAGCCUCAAUACAGCCAAUAAAAGAUACCUACGUUACAGUAUCUUCUGAGGAGUAAUGGGGUGAUAUAUAUGCAGCCCCAAGUUCAGUGCCUGUGGUGAGAGGAGUCCUAAAAUAGUACCUGUGACCACGCCCCACGGUCUUAGACCUGGGCAGGGCAACUGUGCAGACAGCAGGCCCAGCCAGGAAGCAAGCUGGCAAGGCGUUCUGCAGCGAAGAAAGACCUUAAAUGCUCUGGGGGAUACGGACUGAAGAGGUGUUGAGAGGUAACUGCAUACCUCUCACUUCUCAGGAACUGCCAGUUCCCUGGGCAGAAUCAGGACCUGGGACAGACCUGCCUGCUGAUGAGAUGGCCCCACACCAUCUGCAGGCCAGAUUUGGUGCUGUGGACAAUGUCGGAGGGGACAGUCUACAGGACAGCCAACGGCUUUCAAAAAUUCUGAUAUGAUCAACUGGUGACACUACUCAGAAGACUGUGUUAAGAAUUCCGAAUUGGGGCCGGGCAAGGUGGCUCAUGCCUGUAAUCCCAGCACUUUGGGAGGCCAAAGCAGGUGGAUUGCUUGAGCCUAGGAGUUCGAGACCAGCCUGGGCAACAUGGAGAAACCCCAUCUCUAUUAAAAAUAGAAAAAUUAGCUGGGUAUGGUGGUGUGUGCCACUUAGGAGGCUGAGGUGGGAGGAUCACCUGAGCCUGGGAUUCAGAGGUUGCAGUGAGCUGAGAUCGCGCCACUGCACGCCAGCCCACAGAGUGAGACCCUUCCUCAAAAAAAAAAAAAAGAAGAAGAAGAAGAAAGAAAAGAAUUUGAAUUGGGUACUAGGCAUAGUACCUGGGUGAUGAAAUAAUCUGUACCACAAACCCCCAUGAUACAAGUUUACCUAUAUAACAAACCUGCACAUACACCGUGAACCUAAAACAAAAGUUUACCAAAAAAAAAAAAAAAAGAAAGAAAAGAAAAGAAAAAGAAAAAAAAUUUCAAGACCUAGAUCAGAAAUCAGCUCCUUGGCCAGGCAUACUGGCUCAUGCUUGAGCAAGGCAGGAGGAUUGCUUGAGCCCAGGAAUUUGAGACCAGCCUGGGCAAUACUGUGUGACUUCAUCUCAAAAAAAAAAAAAAAGGAAAAAAAAUUAUAUAUAAAAUAAAGCAUUCUGAGGCUUCAUCCACUCCUCACUCCUCAGAGAAGUACUGAAGCUAGCUAGAGAUUUCUGCAGGGUGUGGAAUGGGGAGAAAGGCAGCGUGACUGUGUGUCACAUUUGUUUCUGACACCUUUUUGUAGGUCUGAAAUGCUUUUAAAUAAACAUUUUUAAGUAAUAUAUACGUGACAAAAAUUCAAACAGCAGCAAAGUACAGUGAAAAGUCCUCCCUCAUCCCCAGUGCCCUCCCACCCCAGGUAAUCACAGUUACCAGGAUUCAAUGCACAUCCAAACACAAACAAACACAAACCAUGGUGUGUUUAUUGCCCAUGGAGGCUCUGUCUCAGGUCCCUGGGAAUCAUUGGGAGUUGUGGAUCCCAGCACUUUGGGAGGCUGAGGCAGGAGGAUCGCUUGAGCCCAGGAGUUUUUUGAGACCAGCUUGAACAACAUAGUGAGACCCCAUCUCUACAAAAAAUUAAAAAAUUAGCCAGGUGUGGCGGUCCAUGCCGGUAGUCCCAGCUACUUGGGAGGCUGAGGCAGGAUGAUCACUUGCACCUGGGACGUUGAGGCGGCAGUGAGCCGUGUUCGCGCCACUGCACUCCAGCCUGGGUGACACUGCAAGACCCUGUCUCAAAAAAAGUAGUCAAGGAGGCUGAGAGCCAGGAAGCCUCUGGCCAGCAGGUGAGCAGGCCCUUUCCUGCUGCUGUGCAUUGUAUUUAAGAGAAAAGACAGAUACGUCUGAUACCUUCAAAGGUGUUCUUCAUACAGCAGGUUGCAACCUAUUAAUAGAUCAUAAAAUCAGUUUAGUGUUUCAUCAUCAUCAUCAAAAACCACCACCAACAACAAAAAGACCCAGAACAGAUAGUGUAAAGAGUGCAUCCCUGCAUUCCUGUAUAGGGAGAAAUAUGGUUUUGUGGAACCUUGUUGCGAUGUAAAGUGUACUUCUUAAGAUAAAUACAGGGUUGAGGUUUUUGAAAUAAAGUUUGAACAGGACCACCUUAAGCCACAGUGUAGACUUUCCAUAGGCCAAAACCUGGAUCACCAAGACAGUGUGCCCCAGGCUGCAGGCCACACUCCUGGGAGCCUCAGGCAACCUUGUGCAGGCCUGACUUCGAGACACUCUGAGCAUGAGCUGGUUCCUGGGUAG
rnacentral:lncRNA from 10 species